rnacentral:rRNA from 1 species
UACGGAGGGUGCGAGCGUUGUUCGGAAUUACUGGGCGUAAAGCGCGUGCAGGCGGCCGACUAAGUCAGGUGUGAAAGCCCGGGGCUCACCUCCGGAAGUGCGCUUGAAACUGGUCGGCUAGAGUACGGGAGAGGGAAGCGGAAUUCCUGGUGUAGCGGUGAAAUGCGUAGAUAUCAGGAGGAACACCGAUGGCGAAGGCAGGUCUCUGGGCCACUACUGACGCUGAGAAGCGAAAGCAUGGGGAGCGAACAGG